GUUUAUAUUAUUUAUUUUUUAGCGCAAAAAGUAUGAAUGCCCUGACUUCUGCAGAGGCCGUAUGGAGAUGCUGCACGGCCAAUGGAGACGUUGGAUUGACCACGCAGCGCCUUUAAAAUGUGCAACUUUGUCACACAACACAAUGCCACAGAUGUCUCAAGGUUUGAAGCAGCGUGCAAUUGUCAUGCUGACUUCAGGAAUGUCCACCAGAGCUGUUGCCAGAGAAUUGAAUGUUAAUUGCUCUACAAUAAACCACCUCCAACAUCAUUUUAAAGAAGUUGGAAGUACGUCCAACCGGCCUCACAACCACGCCAGCCCAGGACCUCCACAUCUGGCUUCUUCACCUGCGGGAUCGUCUGAGACCAGCCACCCAGACAGCAGAUUAAAUUGGUCUUGGCCUGACUGCAGUUCUGCAAACUAACUUCAGUGUGCAAAUGCUCACGUUCAAGGGCCCCUAGCAAGCUGGAGAAGUGUACACUUCACGGAUGAAUCCUAGUUUUAACUGUACCGUGCAGAUGGCAGACAGCAUGCAUGGCGUUGUGUGGGCGAGCGGUUUGCUGACAUCAACGUUGUGAACAGAGUGCCCCAUGGUGGCAGUGGGUUUAUGGCAUGGGCAAGCAUAAGCUAAGAACAAAGAACACAACUGCAUUUUAUCGAUGGCAAUUUGAAUGCACAGAGAUACCGCGGCAAGAUCAUGUGGCCCAUUGUCGUGCUAUUCAUUCACCGCCAUCACCUCAUGUUUCAGAAUGUUGUGUUUAUAUUUUUGUUCAGUGUAGUAUAUAUCAUUAUUUGCCACCAUUUGAACGGCCUUAAUCUUCUUGGGCUGGCUGACUCAAGAGACUGGACAGAGCUCACCCUUGACCAUGCUGUCUUCUAGGUACAUACACAGACAACGCUGGUCUUUUUACUCUUACGUGCACUCUAAAUGCACACAUUUAUAUCAGGUUAGGGACUAGUUAGGCAGGCUAGAACAUCUAUAAUGACAGGUUAGAACCCCUAUAAUGAGAUAAAGAGGGUCGUUUUUUUCUGUAGUCUGGGUAAUUCAUUUCGAAACACUGUAUUGAAAUGUCAAACAAAAAAAUGAUCAACGCCAUGUUCCAGCAUUAGUAGUAUUGUGGGUGCUAGCUCAUGAACUCUCUCCACCAAGGGAUGUGAGUUGCAAUAAGGCAGGCUUUUCCACAGAACCUUAAUUGGUUUUAAAGUUUGUUUCUGUGAAGAAUGUUUCAAAGACUUCUUGUGACUGUAUUUUUCAAAUUGACAGUGCCAAUGUUAUACUGUAGGCAUCACUGAAGUGUUAUUUGAUUAAUUAAAACUUCUUCAGGCUAG
rnacentral:lncRNA from 1 species